UUCCCUUCCACUUCUCUCCUCUGCCAUCUCUCUCACUUGUUCCCUUCCACUUCUUCUCUCCUCUGUUCUCCCUGGUUAACUACCACCAUUCACUCCUUGAUUUUAGUCCUCUAAUAAUAAGAAAACAACCUUGCUAAUUUCUUAAUUUUCCCAGCUGAAGUUUUAUCUUCUUGCAAGUAAUUCCUUAAGGUAAUUCUAAAUAGCUAGAGCUAGCCAUGGUGAUGAUGGGACUUGAGAGGUUGAUGAUGUUCUUCAAAUCCAGAGUGAGGUUCUUGAAGAUGAAGAAACCUUAUGAUAAGAUUGAGAAGAGUGAGAGCAUGAGAGUUGAAAUAAGAAGCAGGAAGGCCAGGAAGCUCGUUGAAGAGACAUUGAAGAUCGCUGAUUCUCCAAGGACCAAGACGUAUACUUUCUGAUCAGUACUGUCCUUGAGUAUAUAUUGAACAUAAUAUUUACAUGUCCUUUCUCUUUUAAUUAUUAAUCUCGUCUUGUCUUCUGUUCCUCCAUGGCUAAGCUCUGUCAUGGAUGAUACAAUAGCACAGCUCCACCCCCCCC